rnacentral:rRNA from 1 species
AACGAACGCUGGCGGCAUGCCUAACAUAUGCAAGUCGAACGAGACCUUCGGGUCUAGUGGCGCACGGGUGCGUAACGCGUGGGAACCUGCCCUUAGGUUCGGAAUAACUCCCCGAAAGGGGUGCUAAUACCGGAUAAUGUCUUCGGACCAAAGAUUUAUCGCCUUUGGAUGGGCCCGCGUUGGAUUAGCUAGUUGGUAGGGUAAAAGCCUACCAAGGCGACGAUCCAUAGCUGGUCUGAGAGGAUGAUCAGCCACACUGGGACUGUGACACGGCCCAGACUCCUACGGGAGGCAGCAGUGGGGAAUAUUGGACAAUGGGCGAAAGCCUGAUCCAGCAAUGCCGCGUGAGUGAUGAAGGCCUUAGGGUUGUAAAGCUCUUUUACCCGGGAUGAUAAUGACAGUACCGGGAGAAUAAGCUCCGGCUAACUCCGUG